CUCCAUAGAUUAAUUUACAGAUGGUAUGGAAACACACUUGUUGAGAAAAAUUCCAUUUUUAGAUAUGCAAAUACCUUACCAUGCUUUGAAAACUAUUUUCUAUGCAGCCAAUAGAAUUUUCUAUGUGGUAAAUAUUAACCAAAAUUAAUGGUGCCUUUCAAUAUUAGUGGGAGAUCUUUUUUCUAGAACAUGUCUACUCUUUUUUUGUUGUUGCUGCUGCUUCUCACACUGAACUCUUGUUUUCUUAUAUUUUCUUACUAUAAUAAUAAAGGGUGGUAACGACUUAAAAAAAAAAAAAAAAACAGAGAAGUAUUACAGAAGUAAAGACCGCACUACCAUUCCCUGUCUCCUUUCUGACACUCUGCUGCUUACCUAUACUGGAGCAGGGGUAGUGCAUGGGGGACUGGGGGUGGAGCGAGGGGAGAGUGUUUAGCUGCUCAAGAAAGGAUGUUUAGCUGCUCAAGAAAGGAUGAGAGAAUUCCCCGACAAAAAAAUAAAAAAUUGUCAAUAGCUCUCCAAGAAGAUUCCAUCCCCUCUCCGGUAACCAGAGAAAGGCAAAAUUCUAACACAGGGAGAACAGGCUACUUGUGGCUUCUGGACUAUAAAGACCAAAAGAAAAAAGAAAAAGAGUGACAGGACCUGAUGGGGUAGGGUGAGGUGCUAGUGGGGGUAAAGGAGGGGGCUCUUGCUCUUGGUGGGAGUGGAAAUUGGGGCCCCAAGCUCACUGGCGAUGCAACCCUCACGUGACCAGGAGCUGACGUUAGCAAAGAUACUUAAAGCUCUGACCGCCGUCCUCCGUUCUCCUCUGGGUACCAACUCUGUUGCGCUGUGCACUGCCGUGCGUUUAACCCAGGCGCGGAGGAGGAGGAGAAAAUCCCCCCAGAUCCGGGCAGGCCCCGCACCCCACAUCCCAUCCAGUUUUGAGAGGAGGAGGGAAGAGAAAUAAACGUGGCAGCGCAUAUAAGGCCAGUGGGGAGGUUGGGGAAAGGGUGAUCCGAGGGGCACGCAAUUAGUAAACAAGCCGGCUUAUUCACUCCCACUCUCACUUUUCAGAUACCUCCUUCGACCACUGCCCCCACACCCUCUUCCCCGGCCGGCCCCCAGUCCUUUGGGGUGCUAGGAAAUGGGUGUGACAGCAUUUGUAGGGGAGAUGGGGGGUUGGCUCUGGGCUUUACAGGAAGGAAGACCCUGAGAGAAACCGCCGUGCUAAGAAAGCCUAGGCUGCUUUCCAGACAUCACUGGCCCAUACAGCCCUUCACCUCUGUUUUUUCAGUCCUGAGAAAGGAGUUUGGGUUUCUCUGCCUUUUGGGCCCUGCACAACUGUUAGCCUGGUGGAAAAGUGCAAAUUGCUCCUGCUCUCCCAGCAGAUUGGUCCUGCUUUGCUUGCAGCCUCAGCAGAAUUUUGAGCCUGAGCUGAAGCGCCUCACUUGGACGUGCACGCACCCCACUUGGGCACGUCUGGAUCAGA
rnacentral:lncRNA from 1 species